rnacentral:rRNA from 1 species
GACGAACGCUGGCGGCGUGCUUAACACAUGCAAGUCGAGCGGAAAGGCCACUUCGGUGGUACUCGAGCGGCGAAUGGGUGAGUAACACGUGAGUAAUCUGCCCCUGGCUUUGGGAUAGCCACCGGAAACGGUGAUUAAUACCGGAUACGACCACUUCUCGCAUGGGAUGGUGGUGGAAAGUUUUUUCGGCCAGGGAGGUGCUCGCGGCCUAUCAGCUUGAUGGUGAGGUAAUGGCUCACCAUGGCUUCGACGGGUAGCCGGCCAGAGAGGGUGACCGGUCACACUGGGACUGAGACACGGCCCAGACUCCUACGGGAGGCAGCAGUGGGGAAUAUUGGUCAAUGGGCGGAAGCCUGAUCCAGCAACGCCGCGUGAGGGAUGACGGCCUUCGGGUUGUAAACCUCUUUCAGCAGGGACGAAGCGCAAGUGACGGUACCUGCAGAAGAAGCACCGGCCAACUACGUGCCAGCCGCCGCCGUAA